rnacentral:rRNA from 1 species
ACGGGAGGCAGCAGUGGGGAAUAUUGCACAAUGGGGGAAACCCUGAUGCAGCGACGCCGCGUGAGUGAAGAAGUAUUUCGGUAUGUAAAGCUCUAUCAGCAGGAAAGAAAAUGACGGUACCUGACUAAGAAGCCCCGGCUAACUACGUGCCAGCAGCCGCGGUAAUACGUAGGGGGCAAGCGUUAUCCGGAUUUACUGGGUGUAAAGGGUGUGUAGGCGGCGAAGUAAGUCAGAAGUGAAAGACCGGGGCUCAACUCCGGGGCUGCUUUUGAAACUGCAUUGCUGGAGUCCAGGAGAGGCAGGCGGAAUUCCUAGUGUAGCGGUGAAAUGCGUAGAUAUUAGGAAGAACACCGGUGGCGAAGGCGGCCUGCUGGACUGGUACUGACGCUGAGGCACGAAAGCGUGGGGAGCAAACAGGAUUAGAUACCCUGGUA